AAGUCGUAACAAGGUCUCCGUUGGUGAACCAGCGGAGGGAUCAUUACAGAGUUAUCUAACUCCCAAACCCAUGUGAACUUACCUUUGUUGCCUCGGCAGUAGUUGCUGGGCGAGCCUACCCGGGAAAUCCUGGGACGACUUACCCUGUAACGCCUGCCGGUGGACUACUAAACUCUUGUUAUUUUUAAGUAAUCUGAGCGUCUUAUUUUAAUAAGUCAAAACUUUCAACAACGGAUCUCUUGGUUCUG
rnacentral:misc_RNA from 2 species